UUUACACACUAGUGUAGAGAUACUGUGAGGUGUAGCUGUUAGCUUAACCAACUGACAGAGCUAGCAUUAGCUUGCUAGUAUGCUAAUGCCUAAGGGAUGAUAUGAAUGCUUUUUAAACAUCAAAGUAAAAUCCUAUCUUAAUUGGAGAAACAAAACAUACCAAAAUGAAGUAGGAAUAAAGCUGAUUCAAUUAGUUCUUCACGACACAGAUUAGCUCUGACGGGAUAUUUAGCCUGCUAAGCUAACUGCUAGGUGUAACUGCUAUGAAGCUAACACAAGCUCCGCCCUACAGCAGACCGUCCAAGAUCCUUUGGAGUGUCUCUCUACAGGAGCUGUCAAUCAAAAUAAACCCCAAGAAACCCGAGCAGUCUGGUGAUCGGGCAGAUUGUUAACAAACCCUGAGGUUUGAUUUUCUCCCGUGGUGUCUGUGUGGAGCGUGCCACACACCCACUCCACAACAACGACGGCUUUUGCUUGCAUCUUCCAGUGUUUCUUCUGUCAGCAAGUCCAGCAGAGCUGCAACUCUUCCAGUGCCAGCCCUGACACCAGCGAAGAGCCCUGCCCCACUGACAUGGUGAAGAUGACCAAGUCGAAGACCUUCCAGGCUUACCUGCCCUCCUGUCACCGCACAUACAGCUGCAUCCACUGCCGGGCGCACCUGGCCAACCACGACGAGCUCAUC